rnacentral:rRNA from 2 species
GUCUUUUUGAAUUUAAAUAUAAAGUCUAAUCUGCCCACUGAUAUUUAAUUUAAUGGCCGCAGUAUUUUAACUGUGCAAAGGUAGCAUAAUCAUUAGUCUUUUAAUUAGGGGCUUGUAUGAAUGAUUGAACGAGAUAUAAACUGUCUCAUAAAAAUUUUUAGAUAGAAUUUAAUUUUUUAGUUAAAAAGCUAAAAUAUUUUUAAAAGACGAGAAGACCCUAUAGAUCUUUAUAAAAUAAUAUAUUUUUUUUUCUUAGAUUUAUUAAAUAUUAAUAAAUUAUUUUAUUUUGUUGGGGUGACAUUGAAAUUUAUUAAACUUUCAAAUUUUAAAUCCAUUAAUUUAUGAAUUUAUGAUCCUUUAUUAUAGAUUAAAAAUUUAAGUUACCUUAGGGAUAACAGCGUAAUUAUUUUGGAGAGUUCUUAUCGAUAAAAUAGAUUGCGACCUCGAUGUUGGAUUAAGAUAAAUUUUAGGUGUAGAAGCUUAAAAAAUUAAGUCUGUUCGACUUUUAAUUUCUU